rnacentral:rRNA from 1 species
CCUACGGGGGGCAGCAGUGGGGAAUUUUGGACAAUGGGGGCCACCCUGAUCCAGCCAUGCCGCGUGAGUGAAGAAGGCCUUCGGGUUGUAAAGCUCUUUCGGCCGGGAAGAAAUCGCUCAAGCUAAUACCUUGGGUGGAUGACGGUACCGGAAGAACAAGCACCGGCUAACUACGUGCCAGCAGCCGCGGUAAUACGUAGGGUACGAGCGUUAAUCGGAAUUACUGCGCGUAAAGCGUGCAGAGACGUGGGAAGUCCCCGGGCUUAACCUGGGAACGGCGUUUGUGACUGUGGUGCUCGAGUGCGGGAGAGGGGGGUGGAAUUCCACGUGUAGCAGUGAAAUGCGUAGAGAUGUGGAGGAACACCGAUGGCGAAGGCAGCCCCCUGGGUCGACACUGACGCUCAUGCACGAAAGCGUGGGGAGCAAACAGGAUUAGAUACCCUGGUAGUC